GGCCAGUUGACUUGCGAUUGUGUUCGAUAUGACUUUUAUGAUAUCGGCCGGGUCGGUUCGUCGAUGUCGGAGCCCCUCCUUCGGACGGGGACGACCUGACGACCGCCCGCGUCGUCAGGUCGUCCCCGCUGACUGGGACGACCAGACAGUUGGUCGUCCCAGACAGCGACCUCGCUGGCUCGCUGGGAACCUUUUGCUUUUUCCUAGUCGGAGCUUCUUCUACUCCCUUUGAAAUAUAAUGCUUCUUUCUAGUCGGAGCUGCUUCCCCUCUUGAAAUAUAAUUCUCCUUCUCUCAGUCGGAGCUGCUGCUUCUUUUUGAAAUAUAAUUCGUUGUUUUAUAUCGUUUGCUCCGGAUGACGUAACGAUGUUUAUUAUAGCUUCC
rnacentral:lncRNA from 1 species